CGUACACUCCUACGGGAGGCAGCAGUGGGGAAUAUUGGACAAUGGGCGCAAGCCUGAUCCAGCCAUGCCGCGUGAGUGAUGAAGGCCCUAGGGUUGUAAAGCUCUUUCACCGGUGAAGAUAAUGACGGUAACCGGAGAAGAAGCCCCGGCUAACUUCGUGCCAGCAGCCGCGGUAAUACGAAGGGGGCUAGCGUUGUUCGGAUUUACUGGGCGUAAAGCGCACGUAGGCGGACUAUUAAGUCAGGGGUGAAAUCCCGGGGCUCAACCCCGGAACUGCCUUUGAUACUGGUAGUCUUGAGUUCGAGAGAGGUGAGUGGAAUUCCGAGUGGAGAGGUGAAAUUCGUAGAUAUUCGGAGGAACACCAGUGGCGAAGGCGGCUCACUGGCUCGAUACUGACGCUGAGGUGCGAAAGCGUGGGGAGCAAACAGGAUUAGAAACCCUUGUAGUCCCAG
rnacentral:rRNA from 1 species